rnacentral:rRNA from 1 species
GUUUGAUCCUGGCUCAGGACGAACGCUGGCGGCGUGCUUAACACAUGCAAGUCAAGGAGAACGGAUCCUUCGGGAUACUAGUAAACUGGCGAACGGGUGAGUAACACGUAGGCAACCUGCCUUAGAGAUUGGGAUAACCCCGGGAAACCGGAGCUAAUACCGAAUAAUGCAACGAAUCCUUCGGGGUAUGUUGUUAAAGCGGGCUUCGGCUCGCACUUUAAGAUGGGCCUGCGUCCGAUUAGCUUGUUGGUGGGGUAAUGGCCUACCAAGGCGAUGAUCGGUAGCUGGUCUGAGAGGAUGAUCAGCCACACUGGGAUUGAGAUACGGCCCAGACUCCUACGGGAGGCAGCAGUGGGGAAUUUUGCGCAAUGGGCGAAAGCCUGACGCAGCAACGCCGCGUGAUCGAUGAAGCUUUUCGGAGUGUAAAGAUCUGUCGUGAGGGAAGAAUAACUUGGAUGCAAAUAGUUUUCAAGUCUGACGGUACCUUACAAGAAAGCACCGGCUAACUUCGUGCCAGCAGCCGCGGUAAUACGAGGGGUGCUAGCGUUGUCCGGAAUCAUUGGGCGUAAAGGGUCCGUAGGUGUCUUUGCAAGUCGUUUGUUACAUCCAUCGGCUCAACCGGUGGCCUGCAAUCGAAACUGCAAGGAUAGAGUUCGAGAGAGGAAAGUGGAAUUCCUGGUGUAGCGGUGACAUGCGUAGAUAUCAGGAGGAUCACCAAUGGCGAAGGCAGCUUUCUGGCUCGAUACUGACACUGAGGGACGAAAGCGUGGCUAGCGAACAGGAUUAGAUACCCUGGUAGUCCACGCCGUAAACGAUGAGUACUUGAUGUCGGAGGAUUCGACCCCUUCGGUAUCGUAGCUAACGCGUUAAGUACUCCGCCUGGUGAGUACGACCGCAAGGUUAAAACUCAAAUGAAUUGACGGGGACCCGCACAAGUAGUGGAGCAUGUGGUUGAAUUCGAAGAUACGCGCAGAACCUUACCAACACUUGACAUGUUCGUCGCGACUCUAAGAGAUUAGAGUUUUCGGUUCGGCCGGACGAAACACAGGUGCUGCAUGGCUGUCGUCAGCUCGUGUCGUGUGAUGUUGGGCUAAGUCCCGCAACGAGCGCAACCCCUACGUUUAGUUGCUAACAUUUAGUUGAGUACUCUAGACGAACUGCCAGUGAUAAGCUGGAGGAAGGUGGGGAUGACGUCAAGUCCUCAUGGCCCUUACGUGUUGGGCUACACACGUGCUACAAUGGUAUUCACAGUGGGAUGCAAAGAGGCAACUCUAAGCCAACCCCAAAAAGAUACCUCAGUUCGGAUUGCACUCUGCAACUCGAGUGCAUGAAGCUGGAAUUACUAGUAAUCGUGGAUCAGCGCGCCACGGUGAAUACGUUCCCGGGUCUUGUACACACCGCCCGUCACACCAUGGAAGUUGGUUACACCUUAAGGCAAAGCGUAAAAACUUUGACUACGGUACGAUCAGCGACUGGGGUGAAGUCGUAACAAGGUAGCC